CGCCCAGUUAAAGACUCACCAACACACCAGCUGCUGCUUCCAGCUCUGUGAUCGACAGGAUCCUCUCUUUAAUGACUCCUCCUCCAGCUAGUCUCCAGUCUGUAGUCUGGAUUCUCCUGAAGAUCACUCAGCAGCUUUACUCCUGAAUCCUGCAGCUCGUUGAAGCUCAGGUCCAGCUCUCUGAGAUGGGAGGGGUUGGACUUCAGAGCUGAGGCCAGAGAAGAACAGCUGAUCCCUGACAAACUGCAGCUCCACAA